rnacentral:rRNA from 1 species
CUAGGGGUCCUCAUCGGAUUACCGAAUUCAGUCAAACUCCGAAUGCCAAUGACUUAUCCUUAGGAGUCAGACUGCGAGUGAUAAGAUCCGUAGUCAAAAGGGAAACAGCCCAGACCGCCAGCUAAGGUCCCAAAGUGUGUAUUAAGUGGAAAAGGAUGUGGAGUUGCUUAGACAACUAGGAUGUUGGCUUAGAAGCAGCCACCAUUUAAAGAGUGCGUAAUAGCUCACUAGUCGAGUGACUCUGCGCCGAAAAUGUACCGGGGCUAAAUACACCACCGAAGCUGCGGAUUGAUACCGAAUGGUAUCAGUGGUAGGGGAGCGUUCUAAGGACAGUGAAGUCAGACCGGAAGGACUGGUGGAGUGCUUAGAAGUGAGAAUGCCGGUAUGAGUAGCGAAAGACGGGUGAGAAUCCCGUCCACCGAAUGCCUAAGGUUUCCUGAGGAAGGCUCGUCCGCUCAGGGUUAGUCAGGACCUAAGCCGAGGCCGACAGGCGUAGGCGAUGGACAACAGGUUGAUAUUCCUGUACCACCUCUUUAUCGUUUGAGCAAUGGAGGGACGCAGAAGGAUAGAAGAAGCGUGCGAUUGGUUGUGCACGUCCAAGCAGUUAGGCUGAUAAGUAGGCAAAUCCGCUUAUCGUGAAGGCUGAGCUGUGAUGGGGAAGCUCCUUAUGGAGCGAAGUCUUUGAUUCCCCGCUGCCAAGAAAAGCUUCUAGCGAGAUAAAAGGUGCCUGUACCGCAAACCGACACAGGUAGGCGAGGAGAGAAUCCUAAGGUGUGCGAGAGAACUCUGGUUAAGGAACUCGGCAAAAUGACCCCGUAACUUCGGGAGAAGGGGUGCUUUCUUAACGGAAAGCCGCAGUGAAUAGGCCCAAGCGACUGUUUAGCAAAAACACAGCUCUCUGCGAAGCCGUAAGGCGAAGUAUAGGGGGUGACACCUGCCCGGUGCUGGAAGGUUAAGGAGAGGGGUUAGCGUAAGCGAAGCUCUGAACUGMAGCCCCAGUAAACGGCGGCCGUAACUAUAACGGUCCUAAGGUAGCGAAAUUCCUUGUCGGGUAAGUUCCGACCCGCACGAAAGGUGUAACGAUUUGGGCACUGUCUCAACCAGAGACUCGGUGAAAUUAUAGUACCUGUGAAGAUGCAGGUUACCCGCGACAGGACGGAAAGAC